rnacentral:rRNA from 1 species
CUUGACCUAAUAAUAAGAGGUCCAGCCUGCCCAGUGACAUAUAGUUCAACGGCCGCGGUAUCCUAACCGUGCGAAGGUAGCGUAAUCACUUGUUCUUUAAUUGAGGACUAGUAUGAACGGCUUCACGAAGACUACACUGUCUCCUUUUUCUAAUCAAUGAAACUAAUCUCCCCGUGAAGAAGCGGGGAUAAACCUAUAAGACGAGAAGACCCUAUGGAGCUUUAAACGAUCGAAAUAUUUGCUACCCCACUUUUCACCUCCUGAGAACUAAAUAUAUUUUCAGCAUCUUAAUUUCUAGUUUUAGGUUGGGGUGACCACGGAGAACAAACUAACCUCCACGCUGAACGAGCCUUUCUCUUAGCAAAAAGUCACAACUUUAUGCAUCAAUACAUUGACUUCCAUUGACCCAAUUUUUGACCAACGAAC